rnacentral:rRNA from 1 species
GGGGAAUUUUGGACAAUGGGCGAAAGCCUGAUCCAGCCAUGCCGCGUGAGUGAAGAAGGCCUUCGGGUUGUAAAGCUCUUUUAGUCGGAAAGAAAGAGUUGCAAUGAAUAAUUGUGAUUUAUGACGGUACCGACAGAAAAAGCACCGGCUAACUACGUGCCAGCAGCCGCGGUAAUACGUAGGGUGCGAGCGUUAAUCGGAAUUACUGGGCGUAAAGGGUGCGCAGGCGGUCUUGCAAGUCAGAUGUGAAAGCCCCGGGCUUAACCUGGGAAUUGCGUUUGAAACUACAAGACUAGAGUGCAGCAGAGGGGAGUGGAAUUCCAUGUGUAGCAGUGAAAUGCGUAGAGAUGUGGAAGAACACCGAUGGCGAAGGCAGCUCCCUGGGUUGACACUGACGCUCAUGCACGAAAGCGUGGGGAGCAAAC